rnacentral:rRNA from 1 species
AGCAGCCGCGGUAAUUCCAGCUCCAAUAGCGUAUAUUAAAGUUGUUGCAGUUAAAAAGCUCGUAGUUGAAUUUCGGGGUUAGUAGGUUGGUCAUGCCUCUGGUAUGUACUGGUCUCACUGAUUCCUCCUUCUUUAUGAACCGUAAUGCCAUUAAUUUGGUGUUGCGGGGAAUUUGGACUGUUACUUUGAAAAAAUUAGAGUGUUUAAAGCAAGCUAACGCUUGAAUACAUUAGCAUGGAAUAAUGAAAUAGGACGUUCGAUCUUAUUUUGUUGGUUUCUAGGAUUGACGUAAUGAUUAAUAGGGAUAGUUGGGGGCAUUAGUAUUCAAUUGUCAGAGGUGAAAUUCUUGGAUUUAUUGAAGACUAACUACUGCGAAAGCAUUUGCCAAGGAUGUUUUCAUUAAUCAAGAACGAAAGUUAGGGGAUCGAAGACGAUCAGAUACCGUCGUAGUCUUAACCAUAAACUAUGCCGACUAGGGAUCGGAUGAUGUUAAUUUUUAAUGACUCAUUCGGCGCCUUAC